rnacentral:rRNA from 1 species
CACGUAGGGGGCGAGCGUUGUCCGGAUUUAUUGGGCGUAAAGAGCUCGUAGGCGGCUUGGUAAGUCAGGUGUGAAACCCCCGGGCUCAACCCGGGGACGCCACCUGAUACUGCUAUGGCUUGAGUCCGGUAGGGGAGCGUGGAAUUCCUGGUGUAGCGGUGAAAUGCGCAGAUAUCAGGAGGAACACCAGCGGCGAAGGCGGCGCUCUGGGCCGGAACUGACGCUGAGGAGCGAAAGCGUGGGGAGCAAACAGG